UCUCGUUGCCCGCCGUUUAUUGGCUGCUCCGCUCACUGCGCCGCUUUGGCCGCCCGCGCGCGUUUCUUCCUGACCAGCAGAGGGCGCUGACUGCGCAAAAUGGCGCUGGCGCGGCGCAGCGCAGCCAUCCUCAGGUCGGGUCUGUAUCUGUUCUUCCUCACCAGAUGCCUGAGGCUGCUGAGCGUGGCGCGGGCGUUGCGCCGGAUGCUGAUGCGGUCAUAGGAGGCCGCGGGCUUCCGCUGCCCUGAGCGUUUCUUGAGGACCACCAGCACUCCUUUGCCGUCCGGAGCCGGCUCCACCCCCAGCGUCUUACGGUGGAUCAGCCCGUUGUAACGGAAUGAAUUGCGGGACUUCAGGUUGUUGGGUUCAGUGCUGUAGGUCUGAUGGUUCCGUUUGAUGAGGAAACUCGAGCAGUUCCGCACCACCAUCCACUGCAGGUGGGCCGACAUGGCGGGGGGGGGGGCGGCAGCAGCUCCUACUGUGGGUCCCGGCUUCGCUGCGGCCUACGGGGCCUCCGCUCUCCUCCACCGCCGGAAGCGGAAAGAGCUCUGCGAGGGGCGGUUCCGGCGAAGACACCGUCGGUUCGGCGACUUCCGGCCUCUGUUCGGGAAUCUCCGCCUCUCUUCGACGAUCCCCUCCCUCGCUUCGGAAAUCUCCGCCAGCAGUUCGGCAAUCCUCGUCGUCGCUUCGGAAAUCUUCGCCCUGCCUUCGGGAUUCUUCGGUUUUUUUCGGCUAUUGUACCGUUCUAUUGCGAAGAAGGGGUCUGCGGGGAUGUGGGGUGGAUCUGUGGGGCACUAUGGGGUCUUGCGGGUCUCUAUGGGGCGUUAUGGGGUGGCUAUGGGGCUCUAUGCCUUCCCGUUGGAGUACUGUGGGUCAUUACUUGGUUUAUACGAACCCUUAACAACCUCUAUAGAGCUUUAUGAGGUGCUAUGGGGCGCUGUGGGGCUCUGCGUGCUCCUAUAGAGGCACUUUGGGGUGCUGUAGGAUCUUUAUAAGUUCCUGUGGGGGCACUAUGAGACCCUGUGCAGUAUUUAUGGGGCUCUAUGGGUCC
rnacentral:lncRNA from 1 species